rnacentral:rRNA from 1 species
UACGUAGGUGGCAAGCGUUGUCCGGAAUUAUUGGGCGUAAAGCGCGCGCAGGCGGUCCUUUAAGUCUGAUGUGAAAGCCCACGGCUCAACCGUGGAGGGUCAUUGGAAACUGGGGGACUUGAGUGCAGAAGAGGAAAGCGGAAUUCCACGUGUAGCGGUGAAAUGCGUAGAGAUGUGGAGGAACACCAGUGCGAAGGCGGCUUCUGUCGUGUAACUGACGCUGAGCGCGAAAGCGUGGGGAGCAAACAGG